rnacentral:ncRNA from 24 species
UGCGAUGAGUCGAGAUGGGUCAGGCAGCUUCGGCUGUUUCGCUGCGGCGACUAGUGACCAUUUCACCGGCACACAUUAACUACCGGAUUUUGUAGGUGUGGGUCAAUUUGGGUGUGUGAGCCACUC